rnacentral:lncRNA from 1 species
UCGGUUUACUAGGACGGGGUGGGGGAUUACUCUCUUACUCAAGAGCCUUUUGGCAUAGCAGGGCUCACACCGGGAUCAUCAGGACAUAGAAGGUUCCAAGAUGGACCUCAAUCUAUGGGUAAUGCACCAGCACCACAGGGUGGUCAUGGAGGGGCUCCGGCGACAACAAUACCCACUAAUACCGUUCGAAAUUUACUAUCUAAAGUUGGUCGACUCAAUUUUCCUAGGUUUGAUGGAACCGAACUUAGAUCUUGGCUUUACAAAAUCGAAUAAUCUUUUUCCAUAGAUAACAUCCAUCCUUCUCUAUGUGUGAAAAUAGCCUUUACCCAUCUCGAUGGAAUCACUAUAGAAUGACAUCAAGGAUUU